rnacentral:lncRNA from 1 species
UGAAAGUAAAUUGUUAUAUAGAUUAUUUAUAUAAUUAAACUCAAAACUAAGUUCCACGAAAAAUAGUGGUAGUUAAUAUCAGAAAUAAGUACAUAAUAAAAUACAUAUAAUAGUAGACAGGAAAGUUAGCGGAUUUUAGCAUAAGCCAUUCACUUAACUGAUUACAUUACAUCUUAGUAAUCUUACAUAAUUCUUAAACCCCUAAACAUUUGUUACAUCCACGCAGGAACACCAAUACCAAAUGCACUUAGGAACUUGACUUUCGUCAGUAGUGCAUAUAUAUGUUUGACAAUCUUCGUCACUGGUGCAGAACACAUAAUCUUUGAUGAUAAAUAAGAGUAAACUAGUAUUAUUAAGAAUGAAUGUAAGAUUAUGCAUAUAAUAAGAAAAUCAAUUUUAAAUAGAAGUGACAAAAAAAACUUACGAUGAGAGGAUACAACAACAAUUAGAGAAAGAAAUAUGAUAAAAACAUGAGCCAAUUUGAGAACUUCAAACAUAAUUUUUCUUCUUAAAAUGUAAUAAAUAUAAGAUUUUUCGAAGACUUAAUAAGUUAAUAACUCCCAUGCAUUGUUAAUUUCAUUUUAGUAGUUUUUAGUAUAUA